UACGAAGGGGGCUAGCGUUGUUCGGAAUCACUGGGCGUAAAGCGCACGCAGGCGGAUCGUUAAGUCAGGGGUGAAAUCCCGAGGCUCAACCUCGGAACUGCCUUUGAUACUGGCGAUCUUUGAGUCCGGGAGAGGUGAGUGGAACUCCGAGUGUAGAGGUGAAAUUCGUAGAUAUUCGGAAGAACACCAGUGGCGAAGGCGGCUCACUGGCCCGGUACUGACACUCAUGUGCGAAAGCGUGGGGAGCAAACAGG
rnacentral:rRNA from 1 species